rnacentral:rRNA from 1 species
AACGAACGCUGGCGGCGUGCUUAACACAUGCAAGUCGAACGAUAACGAAAAGAAUCGAGGCUUCGGCGGAAGUUAAGUGCGGAAAAGUGGCAGAAGGGUGAGUAACGCGUGAGCAACCUACCUCUAACAAAGGGAUAGCUUCGCGAAACCGGGAUUAAUCCCAUAUAACAUUGCGAGGAAGCAUUUCGAUGCAAUCAAAGCUACGGCGGUAAGAGAUGGGCGCGCGUCACAUUGACCGGGUGGAGAGGUAACGGCGCACCAUAGUGACGAUGGGUAACCGGGCUGAGAGGGUGAACGGACACACUGGAACUGAGACACGGUCCAGACUCCUACGGGAGGCAGCAGUGGGGAAUAUUGCACAAUGGAGGGAACUCUGAUGCAGCGACGCCGCGUGAGUGAUGAAGGAAUUAGUGUCGUAAAGCUCUGUUAUACGGGAAGAUAAUGACGGUACCGUAGGAAUAAGCUCCGGCUAACUACGUG